rnacentral:lncRNA from 1 species
AAUAAUGUCGAAAGGUGUAAAGCACCUAAUUUAAGAAAGUAAAUUAUUGCACAAUGUUAAAUUCUCUACUAACCAUACAUAAGGAGUAUGUCAUGAUGUAGGUAAACAUUUUGUACAUUUUUUCAAGACGAACUGUGGGCUAGAUACCAUUUGUUUUUUAUUUUAUGUUUUAUUUUAGGCAACCUCUAAAUACUGUUCGAUGCGAUCUAAGCAUUUAAGAUGCAUGGGUUAUGGUGCAACCGGCCAGAUCCUCGUCCCUAUAGGGUCAACAUCCCUUGCCUGCCUUUUCCCGUUUAGAUCGGGUUGAGGAGAGCUGGCCCAAGCCCGACGAUUAUCCAGACUUGGCUGUACUGGCCCGAGACCCGAUCCGGUCUAGCCCUCAGGCCAUGGUGGUUAGGCCCUGGCCCGACCUCCGGCUAUAUUUAAGGCGGGACCGCUUGAAGAAGUAGGUCUCUAAAAAUGAUGUCAUUUUGGGAAUUUCAUUGGUUCAGUAGCCACACGAGUAGCCACUAGUAGCAUACGCCAUUCAUAAAUGGAGGGGGUUUAGGUGCGUCAACUUAUUUUUUUUUUAAAGGACUCGGUUUCUAUGCGGCCAAGCCCACAUAUAUAGAAAUGUGGGCCUCUUAAUGCGGCCAAGCCCACAUAUAUAGAAAUGUGGGCCUCUUAAUAAAUAUAUUUUUGAGAUGGAUUUUAAGACUUAAUUUUUAGAUCAUGAAUAUGAAAAAAUAAAUAAAUUUUAAAAAUUAGAUAGAACACAUUUGAGCUGUUAG